CAGGGCGAAGGGCUGGCGCCCCCGAGUGGGUGUGGUCACGCUGCACACCAGUAGGCGGUGAUUGGCCCUGGGCGGUGCAAUCGCAACUUGUGCGUCACUACGCCGCCAGCUGAUCGGAGACUGGAGCCGGUGUGUGCUGGGCGCUGGGAAGAGAGCGCCGCCGGCUGUGGGGCACGGACGCACUGAUUUGCUCCCCUGUCCUCAGCACCCCCCGCACACACCCGGCACCAGGUGGGUGUGAGCUGGGGUCCUGGCCGCACUGGAGGGAACCGUGCUAACGGGGAGCCUGUACCUCCCACACCCUCACCUGGCUGAGCCGCAGUAGUUCUUCAGUGGCAAGCUUUAUGUCCUGACCCAGCUAAAGCUGCCAGUUGAAGAACUGUUGCCCUCUGCCGCUGGCUUCAAGGAGGAGAAGGAGCUGCUUUCCCGCUCAUCUGGAAGGUGACAGAACUGGGGCUGGGAAGGUCUGAACAGCAGGAGUGAUGAUGGUGAGGUCCAGAAGUAAGCUUGCCUCUUCCUGCCAUCUCAGUAGUCAUACCUCGGCUCUUACCUUUCCCUGCAUAUCCUUAGACUGGCCCAGACUCUAGAUUCGGGGUUACUUACCUAUAUGUGGCACCCUUAGACAUCUGGUCUCAGCUUCUCCUCCUACUUGUGGUAUGGAGAAAUCACCCAGUUGAGUGUGCCUGAGGGAAUCGGAAGCCCAUUUGUGCAGACUCAGCUUGGGGUGGGAACAGAACAGCUUUUCACUUAAGCUAUUGCCCCUCCCCCUCCCUGACAAUAACCCCAGGGAUUGGGGGUUGGAGGGUUAAAGGGGCUCAGUCUCUACAUUGACUUCUCAUCAUGCUAGGGUGGCCCCAGGCAUCCUCUGCCACCCAUAAUAAGACGGCGGCCCCUGAUGGCUACCACUGCUCUUCUUCCUCACUUUGCUUUCCAGGAUGGUGUGUGAAACUCAACUCAGGCCUGUGCAGGCAGAAAAAUUCUCCCCUCCAGCAACCAGCAGAACUGAGUUCUGGGACUCAACCCCCCUUUGGGGCAACAGGCAGUGUAAACCUGCCACCCCCAGCUCCUGAUCCAAUCUCACUCUUUGGCUUAGGCUCUGGUGUGGUUCAGCCUUGGCCUAGAAUCCCUGCCUGAAGGUGGCUGCCUUCAGGGGCUGCAGGAAGCUGUUUGUUCUAUUUGGGGGGAAGAGGAGCCGGGUCCUAUUACCCAUUUAUGAGAAACUCAAAGAUUUGGGGAGAGUAGACCAUUGAACCCAGCUCUUCCACAGCUUAAGCCGAAUGUGUGUGGGACUGUGGUAGAAGGGGGUGGGUAGACUGAGUCCACUCAACAAAGAUCACUCUGUCCCUGGACAUUGCUUCCAUCCUUUCUCCCCCUCCUCGCUUCACUGGCCACAGUGUUUCCUUCCAGCCUGGGUGUGUGGCUCUGCCAUCCUCACCUAUCAUGGAGCAGAGAUGAGGAGGAGCAUCCUGGGAACACAGAGGCAGGCGGAAGACCAGUGAAGGACAAAGCCUGGGGAGCACAGGAUCUGUCUGGGCACCUUGCAGAGGGGGGCCUAAAGGCCAGGAGCACCCCAGGAAGAGGGAGGACAGCCAGCCUCCAGCAAGGACAAGCUUCCAGGCAUCUUCAAUCUCCACCUCCUUCAGAGAUGUGGGACCAUAUUACAGUGUCCUGUGGCUUUGUCCUCCUCCUUCCACCUCUCUCCCACCUUGUAAUUUACGUAUAAGCAGCUUCAAGGAACAAGAGCCAGCUGUGAAAGGACAUACACAGGAAAUUCAUAGAAGAAAUGCAAAUGGAUAAAACCAUGACAACAAAUGUGUACUUCAUUAGUAAUUAAAGAGAGGCAAAUACAGCUGUAA